AUUGAACGCUGGCGGAAUGCUUUACACAUGCAAGUCGAACGGCAGCACGGACUUCGGUCUGGUGGCGAGUGGCGAACGGGUGAGUAAUGUAUCGGAACGUGCCCAGUCGUGGGGGAUAACGUAGUGAAAAUUACGCUAAUACCGCAUACGAUCUAUGGAUGAAAGCGGGGGAUCGCAAGACCUCGCGCGAUUGGAGCGGCCGAUAUCAGAUUAGGUAGUUGGUGGGGUAAAGGCCCACCAAGCCAACGAUCUGUAGCUGGUCUGAGAGGACGACCAGCCACACUGGAACUGAGACACGGUCCAGACUCCUACGGGAGGCAGCAGUGGGGAAUUUUGGACAAUGGGCGAAAGCCUGAUCCAGCCAUUCCGCGUGCAGGAUGAAGGCCCUCGGGUUGUAAACUGCUUUUGUACAGAACGAAAGGGUUUCUACUACUACUAGGAGCUCAUGACGGUACUGUAAGAAUAAGCACCGGCUAACUACGUGCCAGCAGCCGCAGUAA
rnacentral:rRNA from 1 species